AAUUGAAUCAGGGCUGCCCUGGCCUGGGCUGGGACUGAAUCUGCCCUCUGUUCCUGGCUGGCCCUGGAACCGGCGGCAAUGAAUUGCACUCCCUGGCACCGGCCCAGCCUAAUCCCUUUGCGCUGCAUCAAGAUGACAUGGAUUGACCUGUGCUAAGGAUUUCUUCCAAAAUUCUUUUCCUGUAGAGCAAAGCAACGAACGCAAUGUGACUUCAUUGAGACAAAGGCUAGGCAACAUCUUUAUCCUCCCAGAUGUGGACCACUGCAAGCACUAUAAAGGGAAGCCUUUGAAAUACUAUAGUGCAAGAGUAAGGACUGAUUGAUACAAUUAGCACCAACAGCACAGUAAUUGGAUAACCUCUUCCUUGGAUGACUGACGGACUGUAUCCAGAGUGUUUCUCUGGAGGAUCCAAGGACGGUGAAUCAUAGCAGCAGAUAGAAAACGUCACCCUGAGAGACAAAACAUGGCCAACUGAAACAGACUCCACCACAGACUCAGAAGCAACUCCUACACAUCUAACAGAAGCAGAGAGAGAACUGAAGCCAGAGGCUCUUCCAGUGAACCUGAUCCUGAAUCUCUUCUCCCUUUUCAGCACUAAACUGCAUUGUCUUAAUCUGGGACUAUGAUUUAUCUGUGAAAUUCCUAGUGGGUGGCAGAGGUGGGAAAGGGGGCUACUCAAAGCUCCCCAGAGCUGCAGGCUGAGGUAAAUAGCGUGUCAUAACACAUUUAUCAAAUGAUAACAGAAACCAUACAAAUAUAUACAAGAGGGAGGAGGGAACCCAUUCCCCACUGGGAAGUUACUGAACAUUUUGACCAGUUUAAAAAAGUGUGUGUCUGUUUGCGCGGUGGCAGGGGGAGGGUGGGAAGAUUUCACUGGCUUCACCUCUGCAAUAAAUCAUUAGUCUGGGAAGCCUGAGCAGACAACUGAAAUGGAUGAUCCCAUUAUGGAUCAAGGUGGUGGUAUUCCUGUCCUGGGGAGUUUGAGAGAGACCACCCAAGCACUGUGGGACAGGGAUGAGACUGUCAGUUCUGCCUGUGGAGCUUUGAAAGGAUCAAUCUGCAGCCUCUGACGUGGUGGGAAGGGGAAUAAAAUAACUAACGGCGCUUCUCGAAUAGCGGGCAUGACAUUAGUCAUUUGUUUGAACAAAUCCCUCCAUCAGUCUCAUUUGGAUUCUGGUAUUUUUCCUUCCCCUUGCAUGGAUUGUCAAUGUUGAUAAAGAAGGAAUGCAAAGUGAGGUAAAAUCUUUUGAAGGUAUGCAAUAGUUAUGCAUAUAUUAGAAUUUGUUGUGUCAACAUAUUUCCAAGAGGAUAAAAUAUAAAUGCUAUAUCAUUUAAAUGUUAUAAGUACAUGCCACUCUGUUUAGAAUGUAAGGGCCAGAUUUGAAACCCUCACUGACAAUGAGUAGUAUCUUACUUCAUAAGUAGCCUCAUUGAAAUCAGUGGGGACUACUCAUGGAAUAACAUACUACUUAACAUGAAUAUGGCUUUCAGAAUCUGGCCUCAUAUUACAAGAUAAUACGGAGAUACACAGGGCAUCAGAGAGAAUGGAAUGGUAUUAAUUAUCUACCUAAAGACAUGUAAGAGUCCAGAUUCCAAUAUGGGAGAGGGAGAGAAUUUUGGAUUCAGCUUCUUUCAAAGAAAAUGAUACUGGGGUGCAGUUGGGUGCAUAACAUACUGCAGUAAUUCCUGAAGCUU